rnacentral:rRNA from 1 species
CCUACGGGAGGCAGCAGUGAGGAAUAUUGGUCAAUGGACGAGAGUCUGAACCAGCCAAGUAGCGUGAAGGAUGACUGCCCUAUGGGUUGUAAACUUCUUUUAUAAAGGAAUAAAACGAGGCACGUGUGCCUUUUUGCAUGUACGUUAUGAAUAAGGAUCGGCUAACUCCGUGCCAGCAGCCGCGGUAAUACGGAGGAUCCGAGCGUUAUCCGGAUUUAUUGGGUUUAAAGGGAGCGUAGAGGGGUUGUUAAGUCAGUUGUGAAAGUUUGCGGCUCAACCGUAAAAUUGCCAUUGAUACUGGCAGUCUUGCGUACAGUUGAGGUAGGCGGACUUCGUGGUGUGGCG